GCCAGGUAUGGACUGUUUAAGGCGCUAUAUACGGUAGAAGCAAAUCCGGUCAGUCGGCCCGCCUGCCCUCAGCUGCCAACCUGGACGGCCAUCUUUGCUCUUUUUUGAUUUCUUUCCUGCAGUUCUCUCACUCAGCAAGCCAAGGAGUUGGUCAGCCAGCUGAAAGACCACCAAGGGGCUGAAGGCUUCAAGCAGGACUGGAAGGUUGUGGUCAUCUUUGUCGGACUGGUGGGCAGCGAGGCACAGAUCCCAUUGGAGGACGCCAAGGCGCAGGUGGAUGAGGCACUGGGGGUCCUGCAUGACCAGGUGCCCAGAGCCCUGGUGAAGCUGGUCCUGGAACAGAGCGAAUGUCCUGAUGGCACACACUGGGAAUGGCAGAGGU